AGGGGGAAGGAGUGCAUCUCAGGGCUCCAAGGAGAGGCUUGGUGGGAAGUCCAAAGCCAGGAAGAAGGGAACUAUAGAAGCCCUGGAGAGAUGACAGCUGCACUGCAGCAAGGACUGGAGCUGAUGGUGGGGAGCUGAAACACAAACCCUGCAACUGCCCUCCCAAACAAUGACAAGUUCACAUGUUUAGAGGAAACAUCCCACCAUAAGUAGCACUUCGGAACAGGAAGAACAAUUCUCUCUGUGGAGGAAAUUAGGUAGAGAUAUAUCCUUUUGGAAGGGGCAGGAUCCAGUGUCAAGACUCCGUUUAAAAACAGCUCCUUUCUAAAAGUAUUUCACCAUCUACAAUCAGAAGAAAGUAAAGAAGGUUUUGUCAGCUGUGGGACUGAGAUCACUUGUUUUAAAUGUAAGAGA